rnacentral:rRNA from 1 species
AUACGUAGGGGGCGAGCGUUGUCCGGAAUGAUUGGGCGUAAAGGGCGCGUAGGCGGCGCGGUAAGUCUGGAGUGAAAGUCCUGCUUUCAAGGUGGGAAUUGCUUUGGAUACUGCCGCGCUUGAGUGCAGGAGAGGUUAUCGGAAUUCCCGGUGUAGCGGUGAAAUGCGUAGAGAUCGGGAGGAACACCAGUGGCGAAGGCGGGUAACUGGACUGCAACUGACGCUGAGGCGCGAAAGUGUGGGGAGCAAACAGGAUUAGAUACCCGGGUAGUCCACACCGUAAACGAUGAAUGCUAGGUGUAAGAGGUAUCGACCCCUUUUGUGCCGGAGUCAACACAAUAAGCAUUCCGCCUGGGGAGUACGGCCGCAAGGUUGAAACUCAAAGGAAUUGACGGGG